UGCUUUGCACAGUGGCAGUAUCGUAGCCAAUGAGGUUAAUCUGAGGCGUGAUUAUUGCUAAUUGAAAACUUUUCCCAAUACCCCGCCAUGACAACUUGAAAUAUAGUUGGCAAUUUUUUACACUCUCUACGGAGG
ensembl:snRNA U4 U4 spliceosomal RNA